AACGAACGCUGGCGGCGCGCCUAAUACAUGCAAGUCGAGCGAGAAGACGUAGCAAUACGUUUGUAAAGCGGCGAACGGGUGAGGAAUACAUGGGUAACCUACCCUCGAGUGGGGAAUAACUAGCCGAAAGGUUAGCUAAUACCGCGUACGCUCCUUGGACUUCGGUUCAGGGAGGAAAGCGAUACCGUGGGUAUCGCGCUCUUGGAUGGGCUCAUGUCCUAUCAGCUUGUUGGUGAGGAACGGCUCACCAAGGCUUCGACGGGUAGCUGGUCUGAGAGGACGAUCAGCCACACUGGCACUGCGACACGGGCCAGACUCCUACGGGAGGCAGCAGUAAGGAAUAUUGCGCAAUGGGCGAAAGCCUGACGCAGCGGCGCCGCGUGGGGGAUGAAGGUCUUCGGAUUGUAAACCCCUUU
rnacentral:rRNA from 1 species